ensembl:lncRNA
AGGAAGACCCCCUGGAGCAGGGCAUGGCAACCCACUCCAGUAUUCUUGCCUGGAGAAUCCCAUGGACUGAGGAGCCUGGCAUCCACUGGACUCAACUGAAGCGACUUAGCACAGCGCAGUCCUGGAUCUUCGUCGCUGCAUGUGGGCUUUUCUCUAGUUGCGUGUGUAACAGAUCACUUACUGUCAAUAAACUUGCCACGUGUGGACUGCAGCUGUGUUGAAGAGUAAACGCUGGGACCAGAUAAAGCUACAUGAUAUGGAAGAUAAAUAAGCUGAAAGACCCUUAAACUCAGUGGCAGUUGUUUGGACCCAGAAGUCCUGGAGCUGCCUCUCUCUGCUCAGCUGUUUCCCGGUUAUUAAGCAUAUGAGAAGUUCUAGAGGAACAAAUACUUUACUUUUACUAGUAAAGAUAUC